rnacentral:rRNA from 1 species
GGCAGAGGCGAUAGUCGAUUGAAUUCCCCAGGUUCCCAAUGGAUCACUGAAGUUAAGCAAAGUUGGGCGUGGUUAGUAUCCGGAUAACUUACCAUUCCAGGCAACCGCGUGCUACUGACU